UGAAAACCAUUUUCAAGGAACAAUCCCUAAAAGCUUGAGAAAUUGCACAAGCUUAUUCCGAGUACGCCUUAAUGGAAACAACCUUACUGGAAAUAUAUCAGAAGCUUUGGGCAUUUAUCCUAACCUGACUUUCAUAGAUCUCAGCCGCAAUAAUUUUUACGGUGAAAUCUCAUCUAAUUGGGGGAAAUGCCCAAAAUUAGGCACUCUCAACGUUUCGAUGAAUAACAUUACUGGAGGUAUACCGCGUGAGAUUGGAAACUCGUCUCAACUACAUGCACUCGAUCUUUCAUUGAAUCAUAUAGUUGGGGAGAUUCCAAAGGAACUUGGGAAGUUAAAUUCUCUAACCAAGCUCAUUUUGCGCGGGAAUCAACUUACAGGACGUCUACCUACAGAAAUCGGCUCACUCAUUGAACUUGAAUACCUCGACUUUUCUGCAAAUAGAUUCAACAAUUCAGUCCCAAAAAGUCUCGGUAACUUGCUGAAAUUGCACUACUUGGGCUUGAGCAACAACCAGUUUGUCCAAGAAUUGCCAAAGGAAUUGGAGAAGCUAGUUCAACUUUCAGAAUUAGAUUUGAGUCACAACUUUCUUGGAGGAGAAUUACUAUCUCAGAUCUGCAAUAUGGAAAGCUUGGAGAAGUUGAAUCUCUCGCACAAUAAUCUCUCUGGUUCGAUUCCAAAUUGCUUUGAGGGAAUGCACGGUCUAUCAGUCAUUGACAUUUCUGAUAAUCAACUGCAAGGCCCAGUUCCAAAUAGCACAGCAUUUCGGAAUGCCCCAGUGGAAGCGUUAGAGGGGAAUAAGGAAUUGUGUGGAGGUGUGAAAGGAAUGCAACCGUGCAAAGUUUUCUCGUCACACAAGCAAAAUUCCGGAGCCAAGUGGUUUGCAAUAGUGUUCCCCGUGUUAGGAGCACUAUUUGUUUCAAUGGCGCUGAUAGCAAUUUUCAUUCUUCGAAAGCGGAAGUCAGACUCAGGAGAUCGACAGAGCAGCAGCCAGAACCCUCAGGAAUUGUUUUCUAUAUUAAAUUUCGACGGGAAACUUGUGUACGAUGAAAUUGUUAGAGCAACAAAUGAUUUUGAUGCAGAGUAUUGCAUUGGAAAUGGUGGACACGGAAGUGUUUAUAGAGCUGAGCUACCAUCUGGGGAGGUAGUAGCUGUCAAGAAAUUUCACUCAUCACUCCCAUGUGAUCAGAUUGCAGAUCAAAAAGAAUUCUCGACCGAAGUUAAGGCCUUGACAGAGAUACGACAUCGAAACAUUGUGAAACUUUAUGGAUUUUGCUCACAUGCCCGACACUCUUUUUUGGUCUAUGAAUUUCUUGAAAGGGGUAGCUUGGCUGCGAUCUUGAGCAAUGAUGCAGCAGCACAAGAACUGGGUUGGAGUCAGAGAAUGAAUGUGAUCAAAGGCGUAGCUGAUGCCUUGUCUUACCUGCACCAUGACUGCUUUCCUCCGAUUGUCCAUCGAGACAUAUCAAGUAAGAACUUGUUGCUGGAUUUGGAAUAUGAAGCUCAUGUUGCAGACUUUGGAAUUGCUAAGUUUCAGAAGCCAGACUCGUCCAACUGGACUGAAUUUGCAGGCACAUACGGAUACAUUGCACCAGGUAUCUAGCAUUCGUUUGUUACCAUUUUGAGGAAUAUUUUUGUGUUAUGUGUGCGGUAACAGAACAAUGCAACUAGAUAUUGUUUUAAAAAUUAUGUAUUACAUUCAUUAGACUUGUAAAAUCUCACUAGUUUAUGCACAUUUAUCUCAGAAACAGAGUAAACAUUUUUUUUUUGGUCCUUGACCUUGCAGAGCUUGCUUAUACAAUGAAGAUCACAGAGAAAUGCGAUGUGUACAGUUUUGGAGUGUUAGUGUUGGAAGUGAUCAAAGGGAAGCAUCCAAGAGAUUUUCUUUCUUCGACUUCAUCUCCAUCUCUCAACACAGAUAUAGCACUUAAUGAAAUGUUGGACCCGCGUCUUCCAGUUCCAUCAUGCAGUGUUCAAGAAAAACUGAUAUCAAUCAUGGAGGUUGCGUUUUCAUGCUUAAAUGAGAGUCCGAAGUCUAGACCAACUAUGAAGAUAGUCAGUCGACAAUUGCAGAUUUCAGCUGCCUUGACUGAGUCUUAAUUUUCUAAGUAUGCUUCUAAUUUGCUUGGUUUAUUUCUCUCAUGUACUGUAGUUUGUUUGUUCUAGUUUUCAAGAAUCAGGAGGCGUUGGUUAUUACGUCAUCCAUAUAUACUUGGUAUAUGGUGUACUCUUUUCAUUUUUAAAUAAAAUAAAGUUUGCUCAUACCUUAGAGGUUUAGUUAAAAGAACGCAUGGAGCAGUGGUGAGCACAUUUGAGGACAUGUAGAGUCUGUACAAUGAAGACCAAGAUUAGUAAGACAGUUUGUAAUAAUAAAAAAUAAAUGCACGUACGAGAAUCUAUGUUAAUUUUUAUUACAGUCUCUGAGUUCUUACCAUUUUUUUUUUUAAAUUCCUGCCUAGUGGCGUAUGUAUUAUACAAUCUGGGUACCGUAUAUCUAUUGGGAGUCUGAUUCAUACAUAUGAAACAUUUAGUGACAGAAUAAAUUCAAAUUAAUCCGGGACCACACCAUUUUAUCCUGAGGCCACAAUCUUACAAGGUAAAAUCAAUGAUUUUUAUAUCAAGAAGUGACAUAAAAUUUGUUUCCCAACUUUUUACAUAUAUUAUUUAUUGCAGGAGAACUUUACGUGAAGUGAUUUAAUUUGUAUAAAAAUGAGCUAACUUACUGCUUUUUUUUUUUUGCUAUAAUUUAUAAGUAAUGACGUCUGCACUAAUGAAAAGUUUCAAUUAGAUAUACAAGUUCCAAUGUAGUAUGCUAGUGAUUAAAAAUAAAUAAAUAAAUAAAUAAAACAUUAUCCUACUGUUUAUUUGUUGGAAACCAAAUGUUUAAAGUAACUUGAUUUACAAGAACCCGGUUCGCGAGUCCACAUUUUGUCUUGGAAGCCUCAGUAGUCUUGCGUUAUCACAUCACAAUUAAUAGAAUCAUCAAAAAUAGCCUUUAUUUUGAUAUAAUAAAGAUUUGUACUUCGAAAUUCAGCAUUUGAGUUCGUUAGGAUGAAGUUUCUAAGUUUCUUAAUGAACUAAAAUAAUAUCCUUUGUAUUUUCUCAUCAAUAAUAAUAAUAAUAAUAACAUCCUUUAUUAGCCGAGUCAAGUUUAAAAGGUGCUGAUGGGCAAGCAUGUCAAAGCAGGGUGAUUCGCAAUUAUCACAAAUGUGAUCUUAACUAGCUUUGUGUAAAAAGCUCAUCUUGGUAAUCUUUUUAAUACUCACUAUAUAUAAAUAUACUCUCUCCUGAGAUCAACUGAUUAAAUUUGUCUUUCACCUUGCAGAGCUUACUUAGACAUACGAUUGGAUAUUUGUAUUUUAUUUUUUCAGGGCAAUUACCGCGACAUUAUUAACAUUAGACAUGAUUAAUAUGGUGUGUUUAUUGUUACACGAUGUACUCUUUCAUUUAUAAAUAAAGUUUGCUCAUUCCUUAGAGGUUCAGUGUUAGAGUGCAAUUUAUGCACUAGUUUUGCAUUGUUUACUUCCCUUAAUAUCAAUGUUUUGCAUUUAAUAAUCGUGAUUUACUUGUGUUUUACUUUUGUAGGUGCAAUUCUAUUGAUUGGUGAUAAAAUUGAGCUACAAGAUGAUGUUUAAGGAUGAUUGUUCUCUUGGAAAAAUUAUGAGCGUCAGAAGAACUUUGUUAAUAAGGCGUGAGCGCAUGCUGUCAACUACGGACCUGCAGUUUUUAGUUUAACGUAUUUUGUAUUUUUGGUUAUUUUUUUAAUUAUGAAUUUAAUAUUUCAGAUAUUAGUAUUUUAUUUUAAAUAGAACUCUAGAGCAGAAGAGAGAGUAUUUAAGGGAGAAAUCUAUUAUGAAAAAUGGGACUUUUGGGGGAGAAAAGGAAGAAACCCUAGAUCUAAAUUUUUCUCUUCUCUCUAUGAAGAACUAAAUCUAUUAUUCUGAUUGAAGGUUAAUGAAGCUUUGAUUCAUCACUACUAUGAGAUCUUUCUUAUGCUUUAAUUGUUUUAUUGCUUUUUGGGUAUUUGUUUAUUCUCUGAAUUAUUUUCAUGAUUAUGUUUGUUAAUUAGAUAACUGGCCACUAUUUAAUUAUCAACUUAAUCUAUUGUCAAUUAAAGGAUUUAUCGUAUGAAUAUUUUAAUGUUUGUGACAAAUAACAUAGCAGUGAGUUGUGUUAUGAGAAUAAACAAUCUAAUUUAAAUGAACCAUCGUAUGCGUUUGUUGAUUAGGAUUUGGGUCUCUCUGGUUCUUCAGGCUGUCAAUUGAUUAAAUCCUAUGAUCGUAUCUAGGGUUGUCUAUUGAUUAGGGAAAUAACCAACGGUCGUACCUUGGUUAUCGACUAGUUAAGGAGAGAUUGGCUAUUAGAGGGUCUCAGUAGCUAUAACCGGUCUAUUCAUAAGUAGUAAUAAUUUAUAUUUGAAUCAAUGAUCAGUAGUCGAAUUAAGCUAAGUUAAUUCCUUCAACCAGAGUUUUCUCCAAUUUGAAUUACAACUUUAAUUUGCAUUCUUGUUAUUUUAAUUUGAUUUUUAUUAUCGUCAACGAAACCCCCAUUUUAUGUUUUAUGUUUUAAAAGGAUUUAAAUAAUUACCGAUCUCUGUGGGCACGACCCUGCUCAAUCACUAUACACAAUUUAUUUAGAGUAUGUAUUUAUUUUUGUUGGCUUCGACAACCAUCAUUCAGUUAAAAGAACGUAUGGGGCAGCGGUGAGCACAUUUGAGGACAUGUGGAGUCUGUACAAUGAAGACCAAGAUUAGUAAGACAGUUUGAAACAAUUGAAAAAAUAAUUUGUUGCGAACCCCUCAAAUGUAAGCUUGAAAGUGUGUACCACUGUAUUAAUUGGUGGGUGGCUCUUACUUAUUGAUAAUGUUAAAUUAAAUGUUAAAAGAAAGGAAGAUAGGAGAAAAAAUUUAAAAAUUGACGAUAAUUUACAAUGCAGUCCUUGUGAUUUAACCAAAAAUCAAAUAAACCAAUAAUAAUUAGUAUUUUUUUGGGAAUGAUUUGUCUUAGGUUUGAGUAAACGGUUUGAAGGAACUUAUAGCUCUCACCAAUUGUCUUGAAUGCUCUAAUGGCUUACACUUUGUAGAAUCGCCAAUGUUGUGAUAAUAACUUUGAUGGUUAAAAUUUGAUUGUGAAUUUCGGUUGAAUGAUUUAAUUUACGUUUGGUUUUUAUACCGACCUCUACCAAGUUAAUCUUUUUUCCGGAUGUUUAAUUUUGUUAUGUCAAAGUUAAUUGGUUGAUGUCCUAUAUUUGAUCAAUGUGGAUGGCUGAUCAAAAAUAAAGAAUCCUUGAACGAAUUGCGGCCUUGACAGAGAUACGACAUCAGGGCAUUGUAAAACAUGACUGACAUUCUACUUGAGUUUAUGAAUUUCUUCGAAGGGGUAGCUUGGCCAUAAUCUUGAGCAACAAUGCAGCCACAUAAGAGUUAAGUGGGCUGGAGUCAGAGAAUGAAUAGGAUAAAAGGCGUUGCCCAUAAGGUGUAAUAUUCGUUUGUUGCCAUUUUGAGGAAUAUUAAUUUGUACGCAUUUAUCUUGCAGAGCUUGUUUAUUUGUCCUUGACUUGUAGAGCUUGCUUACACAAUCAAGAUCACAGAAAAAUACGACGUGUACAGUUUCGGAGUGUUAGUAUUGGAAGUGAAAAAGGGAAAGCAUCCAAGAGAUCAGAUGUUCUUUCUGCAGUUUCAGCUUCAUCUUCCAAUCCCACUUGAUGAAAUGUUGGAUCCUCGGCUUCCACCCGAUCCAUUGUUCGAUGUUCAGGCGAAGUUAGUAAUCAAUCAUGAAGGUUGCCUUUUCUUGCUUAAAUGGGAAUCCAGAAUCCAGACUGAUCAUUACUGUUUGAGUUUUAAAUAUUUGCCUUCCUUUCUCAUUGUUGCACAAGUUGAUUAUAAAUAUCAUGCUUAUGCAAGCCUUAUUUCGGAACAAAAGAAUAUUAGUUGACAGAAUUAUGCAACUAGGGAAUGAUGUAAUCCAUAAUUAAUUAGUCCGUCUUCAACACAAAAUAGAAAAAUUUAGUUGACAGAUGGCCUCAAAAGACUAGCUUCGUUUUUGCUAGAAAAGAAAUAAAAUCUGCUUCUAUGGCCUCUGUAAACCAACUCCUUCAAUGCCUCCAAUUUCAAAACUAUCAUUGAUAUAGAGCCAUUGAACCUGGGCUUCAUAUUCAACUUUUCAGAGUUCCAUUUCUAGGCUGAAGUUUUUGAGAGCUUGGACGGACUUGACACUACAUGACCCUCGCGAGAUAUGUCCCAAAAUCCCCUGAGCCAUAAUUUUGCUACAAAACCCGACAGAAUUAAUGAUCCUUAUUAAUUAUGAAUUACAUCGUCCUUUGGUUGCAUAAUUUUGGAUAAAAAAUUUGGAUUAGUUUUGGUGAUCGGCUGAGCUUGUGUCCAGCAUGAAUUUCACGUGGAUUCCAAUCAACUCUUGACCAUAGAUUCUGUGCCCCCCAACACAAUAUGCUUAUGGUUUAAAAAUAAAAUAAAUCAUGUUAAUGCUUUGUAUCAAUACUUGAUGCUUCAACAAUCGUUUUCUGCGUGCACGGACUUGUCGAUAAAGAAAGUUUAAUGUUCCAUGUAUUAGUUAUUUGUUUACAUCUGCUUAAUCUGAUUGGAGUGAAACGAAAUUAACAGUUUCUUUGUUUGAAAAAAUAAAUAACUAUAAUUUCUUGAAUAUUCGAUGAAUUAACAAAAGAAUUGUGAAUGAAGUUUUGUUUGGUAUUAAGGUAUUGUUAUCUUUAAAUCACAAUUAUUGUGAAAAAUAAAGGUAUAAUAAAAAAGUAAAAGUUGAUAAUUUUUAAUAAAUAUAACUUUUAAAUGAUAAUUUUAACAAAAAUAAUAAAGAUACGAUAAGUUUUCUAUCAUUAAAAUAAAAUCAUUUCAGCUUUCAAGUCAUAGUGAUGAUAGAGUUACAAACUCUUAUAUACAUUUAUUUUGUAUAAAUUGAUGUAGCAUAAAUUAUUUGUUAGAUAAAAAUAUAAAAUAAUAAAAUAAAUUAUGUGAAACAAAAGAUAUUUAGUUUAAUUAAUUUUAUUAUGUCAUGUUAAAUUGUAUAAAAUAAAUUUAUAUAAAAAUUUGUAGUUAGGUUAUUGAUCUGCACCGAUAUACAGAGUCUUCUAUUUAUGUUAGCGUAAACCAGCACCGAUACAUACAGUAUUCUAUUUGCUUGAGUGUAGGGGUGUUCGCGGAUCGGAUUUUACAGAUUGGACAUCAAUCCAUAUCCGAUCCAUGAUUUUGCGGAUUAUAAUUUUUCAAUCCAAUCCAAUCCAAUCCACGGAUUGAUAAAAUUCAAUUCAAAUCCAAUCCAUACAUCUGUGGAUCGGAUGCGGAUUUGACUAAGUCCAUAUCAAAUCCAUACGUCUGCGGAUCGGAUGCAGAUUUGACUCAAUCCAUUUCCAAUCCACCAUUUUGCGCAUUAGUUUUCGAAUUAAAAAUUUUUAGUUCUCUCUAACUAAUGAAAUUAAAAAAAAUCUAAUAUAAAAAUAAUUUUGCUACCAAUUAAAUUUAAAUUGAAUAAAAUUUAAAUAAAUUAAUUGUUUAAAUAAAGCUAAAAUCAUAUAUUUAAAGUUUCAAAAUAUAACACAUCGAGACUAAUUAUUCAAAUAAAGCUACAAUAAUACGUUCAAAGUUUCAAAAUAUAACACACCAAGCUUAAUUGUUCAAAUAAAGUUACAAUAAUACGUUAAUAUAACACUGAAAUUAAUUGUUGAAAUAAAGCCACAAUUAAUUGAAAUGACAAAGUUUCGGAAACCAAACACAGUCUGAUCCUUCACCAGGGCUGUUGCGCUUGUCGAAAAGUGGUGAUUACGGAGCCGUCCACGAUGGGAACCAGGAAAAGCUGUACGGGUGGCGAUCUUGAAAGUUGUGAUAGUAACAUUGUUCAGCUGGAACCAGUGAAUGUGCAGUGGCUCGAUAGACUUGGGAAAGAAGAUGGCUUGCUCUCGUCGUAAUCUCGCGGCUGAUGUCCUUCAAAUCCGUGUCGAGAGUGUAUCCAACCAGUAUUGAAUGUUGCUAGUGUAUGUGACGGCAGGGAAGCUUAGGGUUUUUUAUUUGUAAAUUGUUUGUGACUUGGCGUCAUGUUACUUUGUUUUUGGGUGACUUUGCAAAUUGUUGGUGACUUGGCGUUAUGUUACUUUGCUUUUUUUAGUGUGUGUGACUUUGCUUUUAUUUUGUUUUACAAUUUUUACAAGUUAUAUUUAUAUUUGAUUAUUUAAUUAUUUUUCAUUUUAUAUUAUUAUUGGGUAAUGGUGAAGAUAUGUUAUAGUGCUUAUGUAACUAUAUAAUACCACAUUUAUAAUUUUUUUAAUUAAAUUUAUAAUAAUUUUUUAAUUAUAUAUAUAUAUAUAUAUAUAUAUAUAUUUUUUUUUUUUUUUUUUUUUUUGCGGAUUCACAGAUUUCUGCGGAUUUAUAGAAGUAAAUCCAUAUCUAAUCCAUCGACUGCGAAUUUUUAAAUUUUUAAUUUAUAUCUAAUUCACUAAUCCACAAAUUAAAUUUAGCGAAUCGGACAGAUUGAGCGGAUCGAAUUAGAUUCUGAACACCCUUACUUAACUCUAUCCAAUUUUUUCGUCCAAUAUGAUUACUCUUAAAAUAAAAACCAUGGACCCCAUGAACGAGACGUCACGUGGGCCCACUAAUCUUGAUGAUAAUAUCUUUUUCAUGUACAAAAGAACACCCCCGCUGUACAGCGACACCGCUUUCUUUGUCUUUCCUUUCGUUUUCGUCAGCCUCCACCAACCCUUAAAUAGGCACCCCAUUUUCUUUCACUCCUAUCCAUUGCCCACGCGUCCCAUCAUGAUUGCUUCUCCGGUUCUAAUCACGAAGAUUUCGUGAAAUGGACUUACGAGAUGGGCCCCAUCUCUGCGCAGACUACACCGUCUAUUCUCUUUAUGAAAAGAAAAUAAAACUAUUUAAAAUCUCUAAAUCACUCUAUCUUCUCGUGAUAAAUUGAAUUCAACUCGUUUUUCAUCUUUUAUUUAUAAAUUGUAAAUAAAAAAAAUCAAAAGAAUUCAACUGAUAUUCCUUUUGAGAAAUUAUAAAAAAAAAAAAAUUAUACGGUAGCCAACUUCCUUGCAUGAACAUGACCUUGAUUCAAUUUAUUGAACAUACGUAUAUGUUACUUUAAUAUACUUUUUUCUUAUAGUUUACAAAAUAUAGUGGUUAUUUUCUUUCGUAUACCAAACAAUAGAUGUGUAUGUAGGUUGAAGCAAAUAUAAUUUUAUAAACUAACACUAUGUUGUACCGUAUUUGGUAAAAUAUUUAAUGUUGACAUCUUAUGACAUUAUUAUUAUUAAAUCUUCAAUAAAGAUUCUUCAUUGUAUUGAACAAUUUUCUAUAUAAUAUAAACUAUGUAUUUCGUUAUAAUGAAAGCUGUCAAGAAAGGUCGUCUCAACUUUUAUAUUAAGAAUUUGUAUUCAUAAAUAUAUAAUAUGAUAUAAACCUUAAACAUUAAAAUUGUUUCAUAACUUAGUUAUCAAUAAAAGAUUUAACAAUUUUUUAAUUAUUGAUCGUAAAUAUUAGCACAUUAUAAUACAAUAUAAAAAUAACCUUACAGUUAAUUUAUUAUUGUCACAUUAUAAAUCUAUAGAAUUAAUUUGAAUUAGUAAAAUUAUUAAGACAAAGUUAGAAAGAUAUAUCAACAUUGGCUGGGUCCAGCUAGUUUGCAACUGUGAUUUGGUACCUCAUUUUUUGUCUGUUUGUGAUCCAACCAUUAGAUUCAACCCAAGAAUUGCAAAAACUAUUCCAACAGUAAGGAUGCAAUUACUUGGUUAUUAACGCUGCAGCCCCUCCUAUUUCAUAAAAAAAUAAGAAAAUAUUAAAUUUCAAGAUUUUGACACAUAAGUCAAUCAAAAUAUUUUAUGAUCUUUAUAUAGGUCAAGGGUAAUUUAAUAAAUAAAUAUAUUUAGAUAUACAAAAAUAUGGAUGGAUUAUUUUAACUUUCUAAAAUACUCCCCACACCCAUUUAUUUAAAAUAUCAAUUACAAAAAAUCCCAUUUUUAGUAUUUUAAAAAUAAAAUAAAAUACCCAUUUAAUGUUUUACCAUUUAAGAUAGUGUUACUUAUAAGGAUAAAUAAUUAUUUUAAUUAAAUAAAUGAAACUUAACUUUUAUUUCUAUAAAUUUGCUCAACAUCAAAUAACCUUAUAAUUGUUGGCAUAAGAUAUAAAUUUAGUCUAAAAAUUAUAUUCAAAGGGCCCCUUGGGGGAAAAAAUUAAUUAUCAUAUGAUAAUUUGGUUGGUACAAACUGUAUUAUUCUUAAUUUACUUAUUAAUUUCAAACACUAAAUUUGAAUUAAAUUUUAGUAAAAUAAACCUAUGUCAUCAUCUUUAACCACAUUCAACAGACCCUAAUUGUUUAUAUUCUGUUAUAAAGAGCAAGAUAUAGUUCUUCUCUUAUUACGGUAGUAAAAAAAAUAAAAAUAAACACAAUAGAUUUCUUUUAAGAGAAUGCAAGCAUUAUUUUUAUGAGAUUUUGUGUUCAAGAAAUUAAUCUAAUUAUGUGGUUAGAAGACUCUAUUUUUUGAUAUUUUAGAAGAAUUAUUUGUUGGAUAAAUGAAUAAAUUAAGGUCAAAGCAGAACAAAAUGAUUGAGAAGAAAACCGAGAGAGAAUUUUUUUAGAAUUUUAAAAUUUUCAUAUUUUAAUUGGGGUUUAUUAUGCAAAUUUAUUGAAAUUUAUAGUUUUUGAUAUUACAGAAAACAGUAGAGAUUGUUGAAGAAAAUGCCAAAUAAAUUUUUUAGAAUUCUAAAAUUAUUAUAUUUUAAUUAGGACUUAUUGUCUAAAAUUUUUAAAAUUUAUAGUUUUUAUUAUUUGCCAAAAACAAUGGGGAUUGUUAAAGAAAAUGUUAAAAUUGGGUGUUUGGUAUAACGGAGGCAAGAUAGUUCUAUCCAAAUUGGCUAGAACUGCCUAUUAAAGUAACAUAUACGUAUUUUAUAUGGAUACAUUAUGUAGCAAAAAAAAUGAAGAUUUUUGUAACAAACUUGGCAAAUAUCUAAAUUGCUGUGUUGAUACUAAAUAAUUAAUCACUUUAAGAAUUCAUUUACUUUUAGUGUAAAUCAAAAGGAAGACGAUAGAUUCACGAAACUUCUACCUCAAAAAAGCAAACGAUCCAAAUUGAAUAAAUAGUCAACCAAUUAAUCAAACGAGGUCCUCUGAAUAUAAUAAGAACUUGACCUUUUGCUUUAUCUCAGCAACAAGUUGAGUGUUGUGUGACUUAAGAUUAAAAUAUUAAUCAAACUACAAAAUUAUAUCAUUUAAGAAAUUAUAUUUAGGUAUUUACUUAAUUAAAGUUUUAGUUAGCCACCGAGUGACUCUUAUGUGAGAAUGUUAAUUCCUUGAGCAUGUGACAUUUUCUUUAAAGAUUUUUGAAUUGUUUGAUGGUUGUGAGAGUAAAAUUUAAAAUAAUAAAAAUAGAUAUAAUUAUCAUGUUAAUGGGACCACACUUUAGUCAUUAAUUCAUAUAAGAAUAUGAAUUCAAAUAUCAUGUAAAUGAAAUUUGAAAAAAAAAAUAGAUUUGUUAACAUCACAGGUAGAAGUUGACUUUAAAUUUCUAAUGAAUCUGUCAUAAUAUUCUUUUUUUCCUGAAUAAUCAUGUUAAUGUUUAAGUUAUUAGAUAAGGAUCCAACAUUAACAUUUGAAGUUUAUGCUUUAAUAAAAUUGUGUAAAUUUGAUAACAAAAACAUUAAAUUCAAAUAAAAGUAAAAUUUACAUGUUGUUCAGCUAGUCUUAGAAUGAUAGAGUACUGAUAUAGAGUUACGAUGUUUAAUACUUAUUACGACCAAAAUAAAAUUUUUAUAUUUGCCUUGUCUUUCAGAUUUGUAAUCAAAUGGCCGAUGUUUUAACUAAAUUUGUAUUCUGUUGCUUUGAUUUUUAUGUUUGGCUAGAUCCCAGGCAAUUACUUUGUUAUUUUUGAUUGGUUAUUCGGAAAUAAAUGAAGUCUAUUAUUCAGAAAAAUAAUUACCUGCAAAAAUCGUACUCCAUUUUCAACUAUUCGUAUCCAAAAUCUUACAAAAAGGUAAUAAUAUUCCAAACUAAUUAAAAAACGACACGUAAUCAGACAAGUCCACACGAAACCUACCCAAAAGCGCCAAAAAAAAAAGGAAAAAGAAACUCGUUCAUUCAAUUUAUCGGGAUACGAUAAAUUCUUAACAAAAUGUCAUAUCAAUUUCACCAUCAAAACUACGGUAUUGUUUUAUAUAUAGUAAAGAAUUUUUUUUAAAAGCAAAUAAAAACAAAAAAAAUAUAUAUAUAAAGGACUCGUGCGUGCCUUUCAUUUCCCUCCUGUUUUUGUCACCCGCCUCUUCCUCAUCUCGCCACCUGUUUCCCCCACUACGCACACAAAAACGUCACCGUUUCAUUCUCACUCCUUCCUCACACCCCUCUCCUUUUCCCCACGUUCCUUCGUUUCAUAUCAUCUCAAAAAUUCAUUCUUUUAACAUUAAUAAUAAUAAUUUUAUUGAAAUAAAUCAAUCAAAAAGGUAACUCCAAAUAUCUCCUCCAGCUUUUUGCUGCUUCUUAAUUUUGAUCGACUAUGACGAUGUACUAAACUAAAGCUUCAAUUUUUUUCAGUUUUUUCAGUCAACGCUUUUGCUUCAAGAUUUCGUUUUACCUUCCUUGAAAAUUAAAGCUCACCUAAUUGAUACAAUUAAAACUCUUUUUUUAGCUGAAAAUUGAUACAAUUUUUACUACUUUUUUCUUAACUUUGUAUCCAGAUUUGCUGCUUUUGUUUACAGUUUUUUAUUUUUUUAAUAUUUUUCUGUGGAGCUAAGCAUGACUUUGGUUACAGCUUUAUAUUAUUUUAACAUAUAAUUAGACUAAUUUAUUUAUUUGUGGAUUUAUUAUUUUUUAAAUAUGGUUUGAGACUUCUGAUGUUUCAAUAUUUAUUGCACACGUGUAGUGCAGUGGCUUUAAUAAAUGUGGUAUUGUAAAGUUUAAUGCUUUUUGCAUGUGAAUGAGCUGGUGUGUACACUUUCAUUGAUGUUUAGAUUCAUGUAUGUGGUGAUCUCUGAUCUGGGUACACGUUAGAUUUUAAUUUUAUGGCAUGGUUCAUUUGACCAAAUUUUGUUGUUACUUGAACUGAUGAACGUGAAUUUCGAAGUUAAUACGUGUGUUUGAUUGAUUGGAUUUUGUAAGAUUCCUUUGUAGAAAUAUUUUAAUCCCACGAACAGUAUGAUUCAGCAAAUAGCUUUGAGAAUGGUAUUGAUUCUAGGCCAAAAUUACUUUAGGGUUUGGUACCCCACUCGUUUGUCAUUUACCAAAGUCAGGAUUGGAUUUUAUCUAACGGCUACAAAAGAUACACAUAGAGAAUUAUGAGCAACCUGAGAAACAGGUUAGGAGCCGGUCACCGGGUGAAAAACAACUGAUUGGAAAAGAGCACAUGUAAUCGAUCAGAAGUUUUUAAGUUUUUUGACAGCUUACGCAUUUAAACAAAUAACAAACCGAGAUAUGCAGCUAAUGGUUGCAAACAACUAUUUGCAAGCGUGCUAGUAUUGGUUGGACUAAGAUUGAUACAAAAUUUCUCAUAAUUAUGUCUUAAAUAUUUGCAAAUGAUCAGGUUAUGUAUUGCCAAACAUAAUAUAUUCCCAUUUUCUACUUCUUCCUGCCAUUCUCUAUUUUACAACCAAGCCUAACAUCCUAUGCCCAUUUAUGCUUCUUCAUGCCUACCCAGCUCCCACCAACUCUGCAACCUUCUAGAGCUGGUCGAGUAAAGCACGUUGUUGCCGAGAAAUCUCUUCACUCCCGGACCUAAAACCUUCUGUUUUGCUGCUUCCAUCAAACUUUUUUGUUGAAGAAUCUGAGGAAGAAAAUGCACAUUUUGAAGAAAAACCCAUUUGUUGUUGAUGGUUUCUGAGUAAGAACUCAUGGCGUGGAUCAGAGAAUGGUAGUUUGGGGAUGUAAGGAGAGGAAAGGUCUAACCUUCCUGAUGAGUUGUGGCGCUUUGGUUGUGGCUGAAGCAAGUGGCUGUGGUGGUGAUGGUGUUCCUGGUGCAGAGGAUAAGCACUCAAAGGCAAAAGAAAGUUUGGAUUUUGACGAUGCUGAGACUGUAACUGUUGGUGAUUCAUAAAUAUCUGAGGAUAAAAAAAACUACAUCUUCAGCCGGUUAUCCAUUUUCUAAAUAUUAAAUCUCAGCCAUUAAAUAUCUUUCUUCACAAUCUAAAGGGUCAUUGGCUAUAAGACAAAUGACUGGGGUACCAAACCCAUGGUGCAAGGUAGCUGGACCCAUUGAUUCUAUUCUUGUUUGUUUAUUCUUAUAAGAACUUUGAUGCAUCCUUCAGAUUCCUUUUGAACCAUGUUGUUAAGAUAAUAGAAUUAGUUAAGAUGGUUUAGUUAGUUAAGCUCAGUUGAUUUGUUUAAUCAAGUUUGUUAUUAAUGCUGACUUGGCAGCUGAGCUGGAGGAAGGUUGUUAUGCUGUUAGCUAAAGCUUAAACAGCAUGUAGAAGAUUCGAAAUGCUUGUAUAUAUACAUCUUUGUAAAACCAUUCAGAUUAAUGAAAUGAUUCACAUUCAUUCUCUCUUGUCAUUUUCUCUCUGUAACUUUCUUAGAAACCAAACAAAUACUUUACAAUUUAACAUGGUAUCAGAGCCAAACUAAAAGCAAAAAUGGCGUUCUCAAAUCCAAACACAGCAAUUUCUGUUUCUUCAUUCACUUUCACUUCUCCUAUUAAGCUUGAUCGAUCGAACUACACAAUCUGGAAAUCUCAAAUUCUCUCUUCAGUACGUGCAAAUGGUCUUGAAGAUCAUUUCGAUAGCUCCAAGUCAUGUCCAGAUCAACUUCUUCAAAGUGAAUCUGAGAACUCUGAAAUUGAAACUCGAACAAAUCCAGAGUUCACUGCUUGGAAAAGGAAGGAUCAAAUGCUGCUGAGUUGGAUGCUGUCUUCUAUAAAUCUCGAGAUCCUCAGCCUUGUGGUAAACUCUGAAACUUCACUUGAACUUUGGACUAGUCUUGAGCAACAAUUCGGAUCUGAAACCUUUGCUAAAAAGGUUCAUCUUAAGAUGAUGCUUAACAAUCUUAGAAAAAGUUCAAUGUCUAUGACUGAAUUUUUUGGAAAACUGAAAACAAUAACUGAUGAUUUAGCUAUAGCUGGAAGCCCUGUUAGCUCUCUAGAUUUUAUUACACAUCUUAUCUCUGGGCUAGGUCAACCAUACUACCCUGUGGUUGUGUAUAUCGAGGCAAAUCUAGCAAAAAUGACUGUUAAUGAAGCUUACUCAAUGCUUUUAACUCAUGAAGCUAGCAAGGAAGCUAAAUUGACUUAUGCUGCAAAUGUUGCUCAAACUGGAACUAAUACUAAGUUUGGAGGACAGAAUAAUGCUAACUGGAUUAGGAAUGUCAAUAAUAAUAAUGGUGGCAGAGGAGCCUUUGGUAGAGGUUUUUCUCAAGGCCGAGGUAGAGGAAAUUGGAAUGGAGGCUGGAAUAAUAAUGCUCAGUCUGGAAAUUAUCAAGGCAGAGGAGGAUAUGGUGUUAACAAUGCCAAUAAUUUUGGUGCUAAUAAUGGAAAUUUUGGUGGAAAUUUUGGUGGCUUCACUAAUGGAAAAGGUGCUUCAGAUCCAAAUGGAGCUGCUGUAAUCUGUCAAAUAUGCUUUAAGCCAAAGCAUACUGCAGCUGAAUGCAGGAACAGGUUCAAUAAAGAAUUUGUGCCUUAUUACAAUCCAUAUUCAGGCUAUAAUUCAUAUCAGAAUCCUGGACCAAGAGCUUUCUAUCCAAAUUCAGCACCAAGAGCUGCUUUCCUGGCAACCUCAGAAGGUGACAUGGCUGAUCAAGGCUGGUAUGUUGACAGUGGGGCAACACAUCAUCUCACCAACAACCUGCAGAACUUGAACCUUGGAAGAGAAUAUUCAGGUAAUCAGCUACUACAUGUUGGUAAUGGCCAAGGUCUGAAAAUUACACACAUUGGAUAUACUUGUCUCCCCACUUCCUGUGAUUCUUUUCUGCAUUUACAAGAUAUCUUGUGUGUACCUCAUCUUACUAAAAAUCUCAUAAGCAUUUCUAAAUUGCUUGAAAAUACCAAUUUAACCAUUGAGUUUGUUGCCAAUAUGUGUUUUAUUAAGGACAAGAGGAAGGGAGUGCAUCUGGCUCAAGGGAUUGCUAGAGGAGGACUGUAUAAGUUGCUGUCUAAGGAUGACUUUCUCUCCAGUUCAUGUGUCACCAGUCAUAAUCCUAGUUCUAUGCUUUCUGUUUUUAACCAGUCAGCUUGUAACUUUUCUGGUUUGUCUUUGAAUAAAGUUUGUACUCAAACAAGUAAUUCUCAGAGUCAUUUGAGCACUGUUAACCCAGCUAUGUUUGCUAAUGUGUUACACCAAAGAUUUGGUCAUCCUAAUAAACAUGCAUUGAAAAACAUAUUAUCCUCUCUUGCACUUUCUGCAUCUAUUCCUGAUUUUUGUGAUGCUUGUCAAUAUGGUAAAAUGCAUCAACUUUCCUUCUACUCUACAGGCAUAAAAACAAAAACUCCUUUAGAACUUGUAUAUACCGAUCUUUGGGGUCCAGCAUCUAUACCAUCUCUACAUGGAUAUAGAUAUUACAUUAGUUUUGUGGAUGAUUACAGCAGAUACUGCUGGAUUUUUCCAUUAACCCUUAAGUCAGAAGCUUUAGAUACAUUCAAGUAUUUCAAAACCUUAGUUGAAAAACAACUUGGUUUCUCUCUAAAGUCUUUACAAUCUGAUUGGGGAGGGGAGUACAGAAGCUUUGAAAAAUUUCUUGAGGCAGAAGGGAUACAUUUUAGGCAUAGUUGUCCUCACACACAUCAUCAAAAUGGUGUAGUUGAGAGAAAGCAUAGGCAUGUUGUAGAAACUGGGUUAACACUUCUUGCACAAGCUAAAAUGCCUUUAUCUUUUUGGUGGGAGUCAUUUCAUACAGCUUCCUUUCUUAUUAACAGAAUGCCAACCCCAGUGUUGAAUAAUGUUUCUCCUUUUGCCAAACUUCAUGGUAGACCACCAGAUUACAAGUUCCUUAGAACUUUUGGUUGCUCUUGCUUUCCUCUUCUCAGACCCUACAAUAACCAUAAACUCAAUUUUCAUACACAAAAAUGCCUAAUGAUUGGCUAUAGUCCUAUACACAAGGGAUAUAAAUGCCUGGAUUCCACUGGUAAAACAUACAUUGCUAGACAUGUUCAGUUUAAUGAAUCAGAAUUUCCUUAUUUUGAACUCUUUCCUACAAAGUCUGAUUCAUAACUCUCAUCCAUCCAACCAAGUCAAGUCUCUUUUUCAAAUAUUCCAAUUACAGAAGUCAUUCAAGACAGCAACAAUGCACAAUCCUAUGCUAUUCCCUCAAAUCCAGAUGCAGGACCUGAUUCAAGUCACUCCCAUACAUUUUCAGCACAUUCAUCUCCAAGCCAUUCAUCUCAAAACUUAUCACCACACAUCCAAGUUCAUCAGCCAGUACAGACAUCUUCAGUUCAGAACAUUCAUUCCAUGACUACCAGAUCAAAAGCUGGUGUGUUUAAGCCCAAGACAUACUUAACAGUAGCUCAAGAGCUUGAACCUUCAUCUGUUAAAGCAGCUCUAGCAGACUCCAAAUGGCAACAAGCUAUGCAAGAAGAAUUUGAUGCACUACAAAAGAAUCAAACCUGGUUUCUUAUUCCUCCAGAAACAGUUGGGAAGAUUGUUGGAAACAAAUGGGUAUUCAGAAUUAAAUAUAACCCUGAUGGCAGCAUAUCAAAGUACAAAGUCAGAUUGGUUGCCAAGGGGUUUCAUCAGACACAAGGGGUGGAUUUUUUUGAAACUUUCAGUCCAGUUGUAAAGCCCUGCACCAUUAGAAUAAUUCUGAGUCUUGCUGUCAUGAAUCACUGGACAAUUAGGCAGCUAGAUGUUAACAAUGCCUUCCUUAAUGGCAUUCUUACAUAGGAUGUUUUUAUGCAUCAACCUGAGGGUUUUGUUCAUCCUCAAUUUCCAGCUCAUAUCUGCAAACUCACUAAGGCACUUUAUGGACUCAAACAGGCUCCAAGAGCCUGGUAUGAUAGGUUGAAAGCUUCUUUAAUUCAGUGGGGUUUUGUGACAUCCAAAUCAGAUACUUCCUUGUUUGUUCAUCAUGUGGCAGGAGAAAUUAUUGUGGCACUAAUCUAUGUAGAUGAUAUUUUGAUCACAGGCUCAAAUUCUCUUUUGGUAGAAAAGGUGAUACAUCAGUUGGGUGCCGAGUUUGCCUUGAAAGAUCUUGGGGAGUUUAAUUACUUUCUCGGUCUUGAGGUAACUCCAAAUGUGGAUGGUUUGCACUUAUCACAAACUAAGUACAUUGGUGAUUUGCUUAAGAAAGCUCAAAUGGUGAACUGCAAGGGCUGUUCAACACCAAUGAGCUCAACAGAGAAAUUAGUCAAAGACAAGGGUGAAGUGUUUGAGAAUCCUUCUCUAUACAGAAGUUUGGUUGGCUCAUUGCAAUAUGUUACACUAACAAGGCCUGAAAUUGCUUUUACAGUGAAUAAACUCAGCCAAUAUCUUUCUAAUCCAUCAGUACUUCAUUGGCAAGCUUGCAAAAGGGUGCUGAGGUAUCUGCAGUAUACAGCAGAUCAUGGUUUACAAUUUUACUCAUCUGGAUCACUUAGUCUUACAGCUUUUUCAGAUGCUGAUUGGGGAUCUGAUCUGGAUGAUAGGAAGUCAGUGGGGGGAUAUUGUGUUUACUUAGGCAACAACUUGGUUUCAUGGUCCUCUAAGAAACAGCAUAUAGUAUCUAGAAGUACAGCUGAAUCAGAAUACAGAGCUUUGGCUUUGACAACAUCUGAGGUAUUGUGGAUCACAUAUCUUUUCAAAGAACUAAAAGUGUCUUUGCUGCAGUCUCCAGUUCUCUACUGUGACAACAAAAGUGCAGAAGCCCUUGCUAGCAAUCCUAAGUAUCAUUCUAAAACUAAACACAUUGAACUUGAUCUACACUUCAUUAGAGAGCAUGUAUCUAGAAAGGAGCUGCAGAUUAAUCAUGUUCCAAGUUGUGAUCAGGUAGCAGAUAUUCUAACUAAACCAUUAGCAUUUGAUCAAUUUCAUUAUCUACGGUCCAAGCUCAAUGUUCUUCCCAGACCUUGAGCUUGAGAGGGGCUGUUAAGAUAAUAGAAUUAGUUAAGAUGGUUUAGUUAGUUAAGCUCAGUUGAUUUGUUUAAUCAAGUUUGUUAUUAAUGCUGACUUGGCAGCUGAGCUGGAGGAAGGUUGUUAUGCUGUUAGCUAAAGCUUAAACAGCAUGUAGAAGAUUCGAAAUGCUUGUAUAUAUACAUCUUUGUAAAACCAUUCAGAUUAAUGAAAUGAUUCACAUUCAUUCUCUCUUGUCAUUUUCUCUCUGUAACUUUCUUAGAAACCAAACAAAUACUUUACAAUUUAACACAUGUAGUUAUAUAUUUGGAUUAGUUUAUAGCAUAUCAACUGUUGAUUGUUGCAUUUAGAUGUUUUUUGUCACUUCCGCUCUUGAUUGCUUAUUAUAUGUCAGUUAAAGAGCAAACAUUAUACAAGUUCUUGAUUGAUUAGUGCUCUUUCGUAUAACGGGUUCGUGACUGAUGUUCACUUUCUUAGUUUUUUGCAUCAAAAGUAAAGAAUGGUUUCAAAAUUCCUGGAGUGCCUCAUGAAGCUGUCUAUGCAUUUUUUCGUUUUGUCUAUUCCUCCUGGUAUGUUGAAAGAAUUCUUGCCAUAUUCUCAUUGUGCUUGAGUAUCUAGUUACUUAAAAUGAUGAAUAUGGUUUUCAGAGGAUUUUCAUGUUACUGAUUUAUUGGCUCCUAGAUUCCUUGAAAAUGAAUUAUUAUGGGUGUGUUGAUGAUUCAAAAAGGGGUCCCAGAUAUAUCAAAAUUGCUUGGUUUAUUUUUCUCAUGUACUGUAGUUCGUUUGUUCUAGUUUUCAAGAAUCGUGAGGGGUUGGUUAUUACGUCAUCCAUAUAUGCUUGGUAUAUGGUGUACACUUUCAUUUAUAUAUAAAAUAAAGUUUGCGCAUUCCUUAGAGGUUUAAUGACAUCCAUCUCUGUAUAUAUAAAAGACUACGUCCAAUAAGAGUUUUGAUUUUAAAUAUAUUUUAGUUUGAAGAGCGUACGGGGCAGUGAUGAACACAUUUGACGAGUUGGAAUGGGGGAUAUGUUGAAGAGUUUUGUAACUACAAUGUUGUAGCUCAAAACCAACUGACUUUUUUUCUUUUCUGUUGAUUAAAUUCAUGACAAUAAAGGAAAAGUUUUAGUGUACGAGCCUUAGUAUAAUUUUUCAAAUAGAGUUUAUUUUACUAUAGCUUUAUUACUUGAGCUUUUACAAGUAAAAUUUUUAAAUAAAAAAAUAAUUAAUUAUUUGAUUGUCAACAAGAGUUUUUAUUAAAAAUUAUUACUUUAAUCGGUAAUUUCUUUUAAAAUUAUAUUGUGAAAGAACUGAAAUGAGAUUGUCAAAUAAGUAAAUGAUAUUUUUAAAAUUUUAACAUUUUAAAAAGCUUUUCAACCUUUAUUCUCAAAAAUCCAGAAUUUCAGUUUUUGUUUGUAAAGAUAAAAUGAUUUAUUUAAUCCUCAAAAACUUUACUAAAAAAUUAACUAACAACAAUAAUAAAUUUUAAAAGAGAUUGUGAGAUUAAAUAAAUACUUAUAGUCAUUAGAUAAGCGAUGCUAAAUAAAGACUAAAAAAUUAAAAAGAAAUAAUGGAAACGGCUUAUGGGAGACAAAAUGAGUUUUACCUUCAUUAAAUACAAGAAAUAAAAAAAUUGAGAAGCUCCACGCAGGGAGCAAGAAAAGUAGAGAACCAAAAGUAAACAUAAAUAAUAGUUUCAAAAGCCAUUAGCACCUCUAGAAAGAAAAAGUGAAGCUUAUGCAAGAGGUGAAGACCACAAGUGAAAGAAAAGGUUAAGCAUCUACAUGAGGUAAAGAUCACCAAAUAAAGUCUGUACAAUGAAGCUCAAGAUUAACAAUGACAAUCUUGGGCAGUAAUGCAACAUCAAGAGAAUUUAUUCGGUUGGAGUCAGAGAAGGAAUGUGAUAAUAUUUGCUCCACAAUUUCUUUCCACCGAUUAUCCAUCGAAGCAAAUCAAGCAAGAAUGUGUUGUUGUAUUUGGAAUAUGCAGCUCACUUUUCAGAUCCAGCCUUUGGAAUUGCCAAGUUUAUGAAGCCAGACUCGUGCAAUUGGACUGUAUGCGCAAGCACAUAUGGAUUUGUCAUUGUUGCUCCACGUAUCUAAUAUUCGUUUGUUGCCGUUUUAAGGAAUAUUUUUAUGUUACGUGUGCGGUAACAGAACAAUGUAACUAGAUAUUGUUGAAAAAUAUUAUGUAGUACAUUCAGUAGACUUGUAAAAGCUUACUAAUUUAUGCACAUUUAUCUUAGAAACAGAGUAAACUUUUUUUACUUUGUCCUUGAGCUUGCAGAGCUUGCUUACACAAUGAAGAUCAUAGAGAAAUGCGACGUGUAGAGUCUUGGAGUGUUAGUGCUGGAAGUGAUUAAAGGGACGCAUCCAUGAUAUUUUCUUUCUUCGUUUUCAUCUUCAUCUUUCACAUGAACACAGCAGUACUUGAUGAAAUGUUGGACCCUCGUCUUCCAACUCCGUUGCGCAAUGUUCAAGAUAGACUGCUAUCAAUCAUGGAGGUUGCAUUUUCGUGCUUAGAUGGGAAUCCAGAAUCGCGACCAACCAUGGAGACAGUCAGUCAAUUACGAAUAAUCUAAUAAUUACGAAUAAGCUAAUAAUUACGAAUAAUCCCAAGGGGUUGGAGACUAAGAUUUAAGGUGAACUGCCACGGAGGAGUCAGAAUCAAUCACUAAAAUAAUUGCCAUAACCUCAGCAUAGUAAUAAUUAAAAAAUAAUUUCUUGCUCAUGUACAAAGAGGUGAACCCCUCGAAUGUAAACUUGAAAGUGUUCAUAACUGGAUUAAUUAAUGCACAAUUCAUAGCUAUUGUUAAUGUUAAAAGAAAGGAAUAGAUUGGGAAAAAAAUAAAAAAUUAAGGAUAAUUUACAAUUAAUGUAGUCCUUAUGAUUUAAGGAAAAAUCAAGUAAGCCAGAAAUAAUUAGUACUAUUUUUCAAAUAAGUCCUCUGACCCUGUUUGACCAUUCACCGAAAAAAUCGAGUUCUUAGCAACCCACGUGUCCAUAAGAUCACAGGUGUAACACAGGCAUUGACUCCUUCACUUCUCAAUUGCUCUUUUGCUUCCGCUGUAAUUGUUUUCCGCAACGUCGUUAAAUUAUAUAUGAGUGUUUGAUAACCUUUUCAAUUUCUAUCAAUGGUGUCACAAACCUUGAAUAGAGUAUCUUUUACUGUUUGGUGAUUCUAUUUUAUACGUGUUUGUAUUAGAAUUUUUACUUAUCAUUGAAAAACCGGGGGAUGAAAUCUAACACGUACUAAUUAAAUUUAUUUCAUGAUAAUAAACUGAAUUAAUUUUUUUAAUAAUUUGAUAACUUUACCUUAAAAGAAAAACUUUCAUAUGAAUUAUAACGCUUACUAUGGCAUGAACAGGGACCCUUUUUUCCCAAUCCAAAGCCUAUACUAUGUUUGGCAAGGUUUUAUAUACUGGGAGAGGGAUAAAUAGAGAAAAACAUAUCCAUUGGAACCGUACCUCCAACAGGAUAAGUUGGGAAAAGCAAUCAAUAAUUUAACUAAUUAAUUAAAAUUAUAAAAAAAUGUUGAGGGUGGGACAAAAUCAAAUUUAUUUUUUAUCCUUUACCUCCCCAUGAUACUAUUCAGUCAGGGCCUAGAGACAAUUAAAUUAAUUAUUACUAAGAUAACAAUAUUAUAGGUAAAUCAACUUAUUCUAAUUGAAUUAUUUAAUGAUACAUAUAUUACAUAAAUUAAAAAAUUAUAGAAAUUUUUAUUUAUAUUUAAUUAACUUCCAUUUACAUUGAAUCAAAUAAUCAGUACCACAUUUUUUUUGUUAAUAAUAUAAAAUAUGUUAUUGGCAAUAAUAAAAAAAUGUAUUACAAAUAAUUUAUAAUACAUUUAAAUAUCUUGUAAUUUAGAUGUAUAUUUUUAUUAUUUAUUUCAUGUGGGAAUCCUCCUUGUUUUUCAGCUUCAAGUUCGUUUGAUUUAUUUAGUCUCAUGUAGCAGUGGUUGACAAUUGUGUAGGUUAUUACGACUUCCAUACUAGGUGAUCUCUUCCUCUUAAAAUGUAGUUCUUGUUGUAAUAACUAAUGAUUAGUAUUUUCCAGAUAAGUUCUCUGACUGUUUUUAAUCAUUAACUAACAAUUCAUAUUUUUAACGUUUAUUAAGAAUUUUAGGUUUGUCUAUAAAUAAAUCAAAGGAAUUAAUAAGAAAUUUAGUGAAGGAUGAACAAUUUUGGUAGAGUUAGGAUGUAAACGAAAAUAUAAACAAUUAAUUGUGGCAUUAAGUAUGAGAAAAACUCAAUCUAGACCACUCAUAUUUUGAUAUAUCAUUUGUCAUUAGAUUUUUAAAAGUCUAAUAAACUAAGGGUUACAAAUCCUUUUUUUUCUAACGUGCUCGAGUUCUACAGUACAUUGGAGAAGUCCUAGAAAAUUGAUCAAGGCAACCUGGCUACAAUUGAUAGAAAGGAAACGUUUAAAGUGGCUUGAUUUACAAGAACCCGGUUCGCGAGUCCAUGGUUUCUCCAGGAAGCCUCAGUCGGCUUGCGGUACCACAAUUAAUAGAAGCAUAAAAAAUAGCUUGAUGUAACAAAGAUUUGUGGGUUCUUUUAAAUUCAGCAUUUGAGUUCGUUAUGAUGAAGUUUCUGAGUUUCUUAAUCACCUAAAUAACAUCCUUUAUUAGCCGAGCCAAGUAUAAAAGGUGCUGAUGGGCAGGUGUGUCAAAGCAGAGUGAUUUGUGAUUAUCACACCCGUGAUAUUUACUAGCUCUGAGUGAAAAGAUCAUCCUUAUAAUCUUGGUAAUACUCUCUAUAUAUAACUGUACUCUCUUCUGAAAUCGAUUAAUCAAAUUUGUCUUUCACCUUGCAGAGCUUGCUUAAACAUACUGGAUAUUUGCCUUCCUUUUUCCUUCAGGCUAAUUACUAAAAGUUUUAUAGUCUUGAGCUGAUUUUAUUGUCAAUGUAUAAAUUUAUUCUUUGCUUUUUACGCUUAAUUCAGCAUGACUUUCUCUCAAAUAAGCAAAUUAAUUUGCAAAUUACGCUCAAAGUGUUGUAUCCAUUUUUUUUAAUGUUAAUUAUAAGCAUUCCCUCUAAAUGAAUAUGAUCAAAUUGUUACAUGGUCCAAAUUAGAAUUACGGUCACAAUGUUAGUAUACCGGAAAUCUGGCUAGGAUCCAGAAAUAAAACUUUGUUUUGUUUGUUAAGCUGGUUGAUAUGAAUAUGAAAAGAUAUUGUGAUUCAACUUUUAAAGUCUCUUUAAUUUGUCUCGAACAUUUUGAUAACUUAAACAAAGUAUGUACAUUUGAUGACAAAAAAAGAAGGGUAUUGGAAAAGCCAACCCCAAAAUAUUUAGUCUUUCCGCUCUUUCUCUGGCAUAAUUUUCGGGGAGACAAAAUGCCCAGCAAACAAGUUAAUUUGAUCCGUUAGGAUCGAAAGAAACGUUAAUUAGUCUAUUCGUCCAAUUAUCUUGGUCACAAAUGUUUAUUCUAUGUUCUGGGACGACUUUCCAUGGACUUUAAUUGUAGUUCGAAGGAGAAUGGCUAUCAAUACAAAGAUUUUUUUAACAGAACCGCAUGCAACAAGUGAACCUUUUGUUUGGAUAAUUUUAAUAUCCUAGAUGUCUUUGAAAACUUUUGCCUUAAGCAAUACGGGAAAACUCUUCCCUACUUGAUCAGGAUUUGACUCAUACGCCUCUCAAAUGCUUGUUUAGAGAAAGCUUGUGGGCACGAUCCCCAUACCCCCAGAAACACUCCACACGCUCAAAAUACAAAAGGUAUAUGAGGAGGGAACGAUAGAAGAGCAAGGCAAAAAAAAAACUAAUUCAAAACAAAGUCAAUACCUUUACAAGAAUUCCACAUCUUUGCUAACUUAAGCAUCGGAGUGGAAUUCGGAAAUCUCAUUUUCCAAUUGUCCCAUUUCACAUUUUGGUUUAUUAUGUGUGCAAAUGACUUCCAUCUACCGCACUUGGUUCAGUUCACAUAGAAAAGAAAUACGUAUUAACAAUCACAUAUAUUUUUUUAUUAUAUUUCCGAUAUGACUUUUCAUGUCCUUGCAUUAUAUAAAGAAAAAAAAAAGGAGAAAGAGAGAGAGAAUUGAAGAAUCUUCCCCGAAAAAAACAUUAACGUCAAUUCAAUCCCAGAAAUUAUGCAAUUCACGGUGAGCUAAUCCGCCUUAACAAAGCUUGAAAACGUACGUGCCGAGAAUUUUUAUUAUAAUUUUUUAUUGCUAUUUAAAUUAGGUAGUUGCCCUUGCGCAUGCGAACUUGAAAAUGACAUAUGCAAUUUUAUGAGCUGGCAUUGAUUACAUUGUAAACCAUGCAUGCGAUCUUCACUGUCAGCCAUCAGUGAUAAUGGAGGUUCUUAUGUUGAGUUUUAUUACAGUCUCUGAUUCAUACAUAUAAAGCAUUUAGUGACAGAAUAAAUUCAAAGAAUUAGACUGUAAUUUUUUAUAAAAAUUAAUUCGGUUCUCUUUUUGGUGGUGCAAGGAUCAUUGACAAUAACUUAUCUUGGGACCAUACCUUUUUAUCCUGAGCCCACACUCUUACAAGGCAAAAUCAAUAGUUUUUUAUAUCAUGAGUGACAUAGAAUUUGUUUCCCAACUUUUUACAUAUAUUAUUAAUUUAAAGAGAACUUUACAUGGAGUGAUUUAAUUUAUAUAAAACUGGGCCAAGAUACUGUUUUUUUUUUUUUUUUUUUUGCUAAAAUUUUUUUAAGUAAUGACGUCUGAACUAACGAAAAUCUCACUUACAAAUUCGAGUUCCAACAUAAUAUGCCAGUGAAAAAAAAUAAAACGUCAUCUUACUGUUUAUUUGAUGAAAACCAAAUGUUUAAAGUGACUUGAUUUACAAGAACCCGAUUAGCGAGCCCAUGUUUUGCGUAGGUAGCCUCAGUAGCCCUGCGUUGUAAUAAUUUGUUUUGACGUAACAAAGAUUUGUGCUUACUAAAUUUGUUUUGAUGUAACAAGGAUUUGUACAAGUAAAACAGCAUCCUUUAUUAGCCGAGUCAAGUAUAAAAUUAAGGUGCUGAUGGGCAGGUGCCAAAGCAGGGUGAUUUGAAAUUAUCUGAGUGCAAAGAUAAUGUUUGUAAUCUUCUUAUUACUCGGUAUAAAUAAUACUCUCUUGUGAAAUCCGUUGAUCAUAUUUGUGUUUCACCUUGCAGAACUUGCUUACACAAUGAAGAUUACUGCAUAUUUGUCAUUUCUUUUUUCCAGGGAAAUUAUUAUGACAGUAUUGAGAUUUGAAAUGAUUGUUUGCAAAUUUUAUAGUUUAAAAUUAAGUAUGGAUUUAUUUCCAAAGUAUGUUUAUUCUUUGCUCUAUGCUUAAUUCAUCAUGACUUGAUGACAGAUAAGUAAAUUAAUUUGAAAAUUAAGCUCGAAGUGUUAUAUGCAUUCUUGCAAUAUUAAUUACAAGCAUUCAAUAUGAUGAAACUGUUACAAGGUGCAAAUCAAAAUUAUGGUAACAAUGUUAGUAAAUUGGAAAGCUAGCUAGUCUCUACAAAUUCAAUACAGUCUUGUCUAUUAAAUUGGUCGAUACGAAAGUGAAUAGAAAUUAUAAUUCAACAUUUAAAGUCUCCUCUGUCUCACUCAUCAUUUUAAUAUCUUAACAAUGUACAUUUGAUGACAAAAAAGAAGGGUAAGGAUAAGCCAACCCCAAAAUAUUUAGAAUUUCCAUCCUCUCUCUGGCGUAAUUUUCGGGGAAGCAAGUGCCCAGUGAACAAAAGUUUGAUCAAUCGAUGAUUGGAUCCAAAGAUACGUUAAUUAGUCAAGUCUUUCCAUUAAUUUUGAUCACAAAUGUUUAUCCUAUUUUGUAAGACGACUUGCCAUGGACUUUAAUUGUAGUUGGAAGGGGAGUGGCUAUCAAUACAAAGAUUAUUUUGAUAAAAUUGCAAACGUUUUGUUUGGGUAAUUUUAAAAUCGUAAAAUGCCUUUUAAGACUUUUGCCUUAAGCAACGGGGAAAACUCUUCCCUACUUGAUCAAGCAUCGACUCAUACACCUCUCAAUUGCUAGUCUGGAUUCUCUAUAAUUUUGGCUCGUGUGGAAAAAGCUACACCUCUCAAAAACUUGUUGUUAGAAUUUUAAUGUACUCACAAGCGCACGAAUCUAGAAAUAGAGUAGUAGUAACGAGGUCGAUCCCACAGGGAUUGUUAUAAAUUGAAAAGUCUAAUUUAAAUCUAAAAUUAAUAUUAAUUCUAACCUAGUUGACCAAAUUGAGUUUCUAAGAAAAUUAAACCAAUUAAACUAAGGAAGCAAUUAAAAUAAAGGAGAAUUCAAUAAGAUAAGAAUUAUUAAGGUUUCAGAAUCCACCACUAUUCAACUAGUAAUUAUUUAAUUAUUAAUUAAUCCCCAAUUUUAGAGUGACAACUCGAAAUCAAUCUAUGUCAUCUCAUGGAUAUAACAAUUAAGCCCAAGUAAUUAAAUCUAAUGCAUGUUCUUUUUCUACUUAAUAAUAUGACAUCUAAGAAUCUCAUGUAAACGUAUUGAAUAACAAAGAGUCAAAGUUUUCAUAAGCACUUUAUGUAAACAAUUUAAUGAAAGACAUAAAAUCAAAGAUAAUCAUGUAUAAACUUUAUAGAUCCAAGCAUAGAUUUAAUCGAAUAUUAAUCCUAACAAUCAAUAAUGCAUGACAGAAUUGAUGAAAAGAUUUUAUUAACAUCCAAUUAAUCAUGUGAAAUAAAAAUCAUAAUCAUCAAAGAACAUAUAUAGGGAAUUAAUUAAAUAAAAAGGUAAUUAUUUCAUUGAAUAGAGUUUCAUCAUUAACCUCAGUAUAAGAAAAUUAGCUAAACAUACUUGAAUUGGGAGAAACAAAACAAAUAAAAACAGCCAUGGAGAAGCCAAAUUGCUACAAAUUUUCUUCUCUGUCUCGCGUUUUUCCUCCUCUGGCGGCCACUCUCUCCAAAAGCCAAAACUCCCUUUUAUAAUCUUUAAAAUGGGCCCCACCUCUUAAAUCCUAAAGCCAAAAGGCUUGGCCGUUUACUUGAUUUCCUCUCACACACGUCCUGGGCACUUAGAAUUGCUAAAGGACUCCUUUUUCCAAUUAUAAAAGCCAAGUGUGGGUCCCUUCUUAAAGCUAAAUCAAUUUCUCUCCUUUGCCCGCAUGUACAUAAUAAACUAACUUGUUGAAUUCGGUUCCUUGGCUUGAUUUUCACAUGCAUGUAUGUCUAAUUCCUUCCAAAAAUCAAUUAAUCUUUAAUGCUUAUAAAUUGAACUCCUUUAUACUCUUUUUAUCCAUAAUCUCCAAUUAAUUCCCUAUUCAAUAAAAUAAUUUAAUUAAUUAAAAAUAACAAAUAAAAAUAACUAACAAUUAAAUAAUUAAGGGUAAAAUAUGUAUAUAAAUUAUGCUCAUCAUCUUUCCAUUAAUUUUGAUCACAAAUGUUUAUCCUAUUUUGUAAGACGACUUGCCAUGGACUUUAAUUGUAGUUGGAAGGGGAGUGGCUAUCAAUACAAAGAUUAUUUUGAUAAAAUUGCAAACGUUUUGUUUGGGUAAUUUUAAAAUCGUAAAAUGCCUUUUAAGACUUUUGCCUUAAGCAACGGGGAAAACUCUUCCCUACUUGAUCAAGCAUCGACUCAUACACCUCUCAAUUGCUAGUCUGGAUUCUAUAUAAUUUUGGCUCGUGUGGAAAAAUCUACUCGUGGAUUCCUCCUAAUAGCUCCAAUGAUUUUUCCUGAAAUUAAAACCAUAAUCUUUAGCCUUUAACCAUUUAGACUUUGGGCACGGACGAACGUUGUGUUAUGUAGUUCAUAGUCGAAGUGAAAACGGUCUAUAUUUUAGCCAAUAUUCGGUACAUAAAAACAUACUUUGAAAGUUAAUUAAUCUAACGGAACUCAUUUUUUAGGGGGAAAGGAAUCAAUUUACAGGCAUAUACAUAAAAACAUACUUUGAAAGUUAAUUAAUCUAACAGAACUCAUUUUUUAAGGGGAAAGGAAUCAAUUUACAGGCAUAUACCUUCAAAAAUUAGAUUACUUAAUUAGUUGAACUUACCUACCUCUGCAAAUAGAUUUAAUGUCAACGUAGUCAAUCCCAAAAAGUCUACACAAGUUCAGUGUACAAAAAUGGUGCAAAUCACGGGAAGCUUAUCCGUCUUAUCAACGCUUGAAAACGUGCUGAGAAUUUGUUAGAUUGAACACCGUGUGGACUGACUCCAUCAGUUGCCCCACAAAAGUUAAUGCAGUCCACAAUAGUUGUACGCCACAGCAUUAUAAUUUUUCUAUUGCCUUUUAAAUUGGCUAGUUGCUAAUGAGAACUCAAAAAUGACAUACGUAAUUUUAUGAACCACCAAUAAUAAUGGAGGCUCUUAUGUUGAGUUUUAUUACAGUCUCUGAAUUCUAACUUCUUUUUCUUUUUUUUUUUAAAGUCAUGUACGCUGGUGGCGUAUGUAUUAUACAAUCUGGGUAUAUCUAUUGGGAGUCUGAUUCAUACAUAUGAAACAUUUAGUGACAGAAUAAAUUUGAAUUAGACUGGGACCACACCAUUUUAUCCUGAGGCCACACUCUUAUAAGGUAAAAUCAAUCAUUUUUAUAUCAAGAAGUGACAUAAAAUUUGUUUCCCAACUUUUUAAAUAUAUUAUUUAUUUAAGGAGAACUUUACGUGAAGUGAUUUAAUUUGCAUAAAAAUGAGCUAACUUACUGCUUUUUUUUUUUUUUUGCCAUAAUUUAUAAGUAAUAACGUCUGCACUAAUGAAAAGUUUCAAUCAGAUAUAGUUAUAUCCAUUCAUGACUGUUAAGUCCUUUUGAUGGAAACCAAAUGUUGACGGAAAAAAAUAAAUAAAUAAAACAUCAUCCUGCUGUUUAUUUGAUGGAAACCAAAUGUUUGAAGUAGCUUGAUUUACAAGAACCCGCUUCGCGAGUCCAUGUUUUGUCUAGGAAUCCUCAGUAGCAUAGGCGGUGCCACGUUAGGACUAGAGCCCCCUAACUUUUUAAAAUUACAAAUUUAAUUUAAUAUUUGUUUCAUUUAUCAUAAAAGUUCCUAUUAAAAUUUUAAAAAAAUAAAAAUAUUAAGUAUUUAUCUUUAACUUCCAACCCACAAAGAUAUUAUUAUUUUGAGAUUUGUUGCACGCUAACUCUCCUCACACAAAAAAACAGAAAUUAUUUUA
rnacentral:lncRNA from 1 species